rnacentral:lncRNA from 1 species
CUUUUAUCAGUUCACUCAAGUCCACCAUUGAUGUACUUCGAGGGACUAUGUCAGUUGUGUCCCAGUUCACUAAAGUGUUCAAUGAUUUUCGGCUUUCUAAUGCCAUUUCAGAUUGCCUUGAGUUGCUGGAUUUUGCAGCUGAUGAUCUGAGCUGGUCCCUUUCUGCCAUUCAGAAUCCUAAAGGUAUAUACAAGUAUGGUACUUUUUUUUUGUCUUUCCCAUGUUAGAUUUCUAGUUCAACUAGCUAAAAAAGUUGAUUGUAGGUAAAGAUAACGGUACCGGCGAUCUGGGGUCGGAUUUGAAGACAUGGUUGAGCUCUACUUUCACUAAUCAGGACACAUGCAUAGAGGGAUUUGUUGGUACCAAUGGAAUUGUCAAGACAGUGGUAGCUGAAAGCCUGAGCCAAGUAGCUUCAUUAGUCCACAGCCUUCUUACUAUGGUCCAUGAUCCAGCUCCCAAAGGCAAAUCCAAUGGCGGUGGUGGCGGUGUGAAGCACGUGGGCAGCGGUGAUUUUCCAUCAUGGGUUGGCAAACACAGCAGGAAGCUCCUUCAGGCCUCAUCAGUGUCACCAGAUGUUACAGUAGCUGCAGAUGGAACUGGGAAUUAUACUACUGUGAUGGAUGCAGUCCAAGCAGCCCCUGAUUACAGCCAGAACCACUAUGUAAUCUACAUCAAGCAAGGCAUUUAUAGGGAGAAUGUGGAGAUCAAGAAGAAGAAAUGGAACCUGAUGAUGGUCGGAGAUGGGAUGGGCGCUACUGUCAUUACUGGAAACCGGAGCUACAUCGAUGGCUGGACUACAUAUGCAUCUGCAACCUUUGGUAUGAGUUCAUUGAGUUGUGUCUUAAUUUUUGGCAUGCCAUUUUCUUCCACCAUGACCCCAUGCUUUUGAAUAUAGAGAAAGAGAAAUUAAUGCUUUGCAUUCAAGUUUAGGAUGCAAAAGACUAGGAAAAAUCUCUGCCCAACUACCAACCAAGCUGGAGUCAACCUAAUAGUUUUAACUAAUUUGGCAUAAUGGAAUGCAGCUGU